rnacentral:rRNA from 1 species
GGCGUGGCGGCAUGCUUAACAUGCAGUCGAACGGCAGCACGGGUGCUUGCACCUGGUGGCGAGUGGCGAACGGGUGAGUAAUACAUCGGAACAUGUCCUGUAGUGGGGGAUAGCCCGGCGAAAGCCGGAUUAAUACCGCAUACGAUCUAAGGAUGAAAGCGGGGGACCUUCGGGCCUCGCGCUAUAGGGUUGGCCGAUGGCUGAUUAGCUAGUUGGUGGGGUAAAGGCCUACCAAGGCGACGAUCAGUAGCUGGUCUGAGAGGACGACCAGCCACACUGGGACUGAGACACGGCCCAGACUCCUACGGGAGGCAGCAGUGGGGAAUUUUGGACAAUGGGCGAAAGCCUGAUCCAGCAAUGCCGCGUGUGUGAAGAAGGCCUUCGGGUUGUAAAGCACUUUUGUCCGGAAAGAAAUCCCUGGUCCUAAUAUGGCCGGGGGAUGACGGUACCGGAAGAAUAAGCACCGGCUAACUACGUGCCAGCAGCCGCGGUAAUACGUAGGGUGCGAGCGUUAAUCGGAAUUACUGGGCGUAAAGCGUGCGCAGGCGGUUUGUUAAGACCGAUGUGAAAUCCCCGGGCUCAACCUGGGAACUGCAUUGGUGACUGGCAAGCUAGAGUAUGGCAGAGGGGGGUAGAAUUCCACGUGUAGCAGUGAAAUGCGUAGAGAUGUGGAGGAAUACCGAUGGCGAAGGCA